AGACCCUCCAGGGGCAGGGCCCAGGAUUGAAGAGGGAAGCCCUGCUCCACACGUGUUCAUCAGGAAGGACCCACAGACUGCUGCUCCUGGAGGCCUCUCGGUUUAUGGAUGUGUGUUUGUUCCAUAAACCCUCAGAGGGUCACCUGGAGACCCGCUAAAAUGCAGGUUCUUGGGCCACAUCCUAGACCUUCUGACCGACCCAGGGAGUGGGGCCCAGGAAGCUGCAUUUGACAGAUAUCCCCGUGUGAUCAUCAUGCACACAGGAGUGAGAGAACCAGUGUUCUCCCCGGGCAGAAGGGAAGCUCGUGUGCAGGACACCUCACACCUCCUUUCCCAUUCCCCUGCCAGGCUCUCCCUGCUGACAUUGUUUUUGCGGGAGAGCUGUGAAUUCUGAAGAUUAGGUUGCUUCUCACCCCAAGCUCCAGAAGUCCAGGCUGAGCCAAACCAAGCUUCAAGUUGUGCCUGGACUUGGAGAACCAGGAGGUGAGGGGACUGACUACUUGAAGAUCACAUGGAGGAGGAGUCUGAUCCAGGCCCAGUCUUGCUCUGUUGCCCAGGCUGGAAUACAGUGGCAUGAUCUCAGCUCACUGCAACCUCUGCCCCCCAGGUUCAAGCAAUUCUCAUGCAUCAGCCUCCCAAGAAGCUGGGACUGACUACAGGCAUGCACCACCACACCCAGCUAAUUUUUGUGUCUAAC
rnacentral:lncRNA from 1 species